rnacentral:ncRNA from 1 species
UAAGCACUCCGCCUGGGGAGUACGACCGCAAGGUUGAAACUCAAAGGAAUUGACGGGGGCCCGCACAAGCGGUGGAGCAUGUGGUUUAAUUCGAAGCAACGCGAAGAACCUUACCAGGUCUUGACAUCCUUUGACCACUCUAGAGAUAGAGCUUUCCCUUCGGGGACAAAGUGACAGGUGGUGCAUGGUUGUCGUCAGCUCGUGUCGUGAGAUGUUGGGUUAAGUCCCGCAACGAGCGCAACCCUUAUUGUUAGUUGCCAUCAUUCAGUUGGGCACUCUAGCGAGACUGCCGGUGACAAACCGGAGGAAGGUGGGGAUGACGUCAAAUCAUCAUGCCCCUUAUGACCUGGGCUACACACGUGCUACAAUGGGAAGUACAACGAGUCGCUAGGCCGCGAGGUCAUGCAAAUCUCUUAAAGCUUCUCUCAGUUCGGAUUGUAGGCUGCAACUCGCCUACAUGAAGCCGGAAUCGCUAGUAAUCGCGGAUCAGCACGCCGCGGUGAAUACGUUCCCGGGCCUUGUACACACCGCCCGUCACACCACGAAAGUUUGUAACACCCGAAGUCGGUGAGGUAACCUUUUGGAGCCAGCCGCCUAAGGUGGGAUAGAUGAUUGGGGUGAAGUCGUAACAAGGUAGCCGUAUCGGAAGGUGCGGCUGGAUCACCUCCUUU